CCGUUAAAGCGCGGCCAGCGAUUCACCUUGGGGAUGAUUCGGAUUCGAUGGCAAUCGACCAGCAAGCGAUGGCACGCUGCAGCAUAUUUAGGCCACAUGGGUUGACGGGUACAACAUACCUCAGUUUAAGGCUUCACUCUGUGCUCUCGGCGGCAGCUACUUGCCCUGCUCGUACGUGCAGACAGAGAUGCAUACUGUUGCUAUCAGGUCCACAGUUUCCUCAUCGCGAAUUAAACCCAGAGUCGGUCUCCUUAAUUCGAGCAUAGAUGUUGGUUGUAGCAAAAAAAAUCAGUACACACUAUAUUCUUGCAGACGAUUGAAUGCUAAAGAGAGCGGAUUUUUAGCCGCCGGCGGCGGGUGCGCCGGAAAUCUGGACGGCCGCAACUUCUCUGAGAUUGGUGGGACUCCUGACGAGCGGGUGUAUUAAACAUGUAUAACGUAACAAUAUCCGUUGUAUUUGGUCCGGGUCAGGUUUUUUUAUUUGGGCGGUGGGCACAAAUAUAGAGGACAACGCUCACGGGAGGGUUCCAGAGAGGGCAUCUGGAGCAGCACAACGCGACCGUCCGGCUUCCUCAUGCCCCGCUCAUCCGUAGGAACUGAAUGCGGGCGGACAACUUCCUCAGCUGAGGGCCACUCGGCGGGACGAGUCUAGCACAGAUCCAGCAUGAAUAAGGAUGAGCACGGAGGUCAGGAUUUCACUGGGGAAAGAGGCAAGAAGCUUGCACCCAUUGAAGACGGAUCGGCGAUUGCUUCAUCUGCCCAGCUUGAAAUCGGUACCUCACGGUUGUCAAUGGGACAAAUUUAUCGUAUGGUGCAAACAUUCACCCCUUUCAAAAGAGAUUUGGUGAAUGCUAUUGGUUCGGGGGUUUGUUAUGUUUACCAAACUUGCCAAAGCUCAACCUGAGGUUUAGUUUGUGGUUGCUAAAUCAAGUUGAUGUGGACAAGCAUGCCUUGGUAGUGGAUGAUAAUAACAUGAUUCGUUUCUUUGACGAGGAUGUGGAAAGAAUUUUGGGCAUUCCUUGUGGAUUAAGAAAGGUAGAUGGUCCUGAUGCUAGUAUCACACCUGAUGCGGUGUCAUUCAUGCGCUCAGCACUGGGUCUAUUAGACAAAGAUUCACAUAGCUUGAAACGAGUUGAGUCAUUCCUGUGCAGAGACAUUUCACCAGAUUCGAGCCGUUUGGAGCAAGAAUGUUUUCAGGCUGCCUUUGUAAUCAAUAGUAUGGGUCACCUGCUUGUACCAUUAGUGAAGCAUGACUAUGUGACAGUAGACUUUUGGGGUGCUUUGAAAAAUGUU